rnacentral:SRP_RNA from 1 species
GCCGGGUGUGGUGGCUCACGCCUGUAAUUCCAGCUACUUGGGAGGCUGAGACAGGAGAAUCACUUGAGCCCAGGAGAUGGAAGUUGCAGUGAGACAAGAUGGUGCCACUGCACUCCAGCCUGGGCAACAGAGUGAGACUCUGCCUCGG